GGUCCCAGCCUGCUGAGUGACUGGGGGACCCAUUUCCUCCGGGUGACGGGUAGACAGGGAACAUAGUAGAACGCUCGUCAAAAAGUGAAUUUGGCUUAAUGUUAAAAUGUUUUGAAUAUUUUUUAGUUGUUUUAUCGAUUGAAUCGUGACUGCUGCUGUAGGGGGACGGGACCCAUAUGGUGCGUUUUGUGUUAUUUUUGGGUAGGCUUUUCUCCAUAUUCUGGCUCGGAAACCUAAACUUGGGCAAUUUCGAUGGCUCUUUGUUCUAUGUAAUAAAUAUCCCUAUGAAAUAAGAUUAAAGAAAAUUAAAACAUUUAUGAAAUAUUUGGUAACAGCGUGAUGAUUAUAAAAAUGAGUGUUAUUUAGCAACUCUGCUUAGUGUUUGAAAACUUUGAGCUCGUCAGUCGUCACUCAUCUGUAACGCGUGAACUAAAGGACCUGAACCGCCCUUUGUGCACUCCCUGCCGCUACCCUCCCUCAUUUGAUUUACGGAUUGUGCUUACGAUUUAUAAAGAUCCCUGACCCGGAUUAACUGAAGUAAAAUUUGACGAACGUCAUGACAUUUUUGACACCGGAUUAUUAAGAUUCCCCCUGUUUGUGACUCUUUUAUAAGUAUCAGGGCUUUGUUGUGAGAAGUUGUGCCGGUCAACUUUUAUUUAGGUAGUCUUCAUAAGAAUCCCGGAUGUUUUGUGCGGCUUACGGAUACACCCAAAGAUUUAACAAGACUACAAAUUCGUUUGUUACCUUUCAUUGGUCUGCAAAAUAACAAAGUUCUGCGGGGUUUCUUCUGAUACUACUAUUAUGGUGUCAACCAAAGGUAAGGGAUAUUAUACCAUAGUGCUGUUGGAAUCCUCUAGAUGAUAUAAAUUUAAAAUACCUGAAUCUUCAAGACUAAGAAAAUAUCAGGGUAUUUGCA